rnacentral:rRNA from 1 species
GAUGAACGCUGGCGGCAUGCCUAACACAUGCAAGUCGAACGAGACAUUUAUGUCUAGUGGCGAACGGGUGAGUAAUACUUUGGAAUCUACCUCAAAGUGGGGGAUAGCUUGUCGAAAGACAAAUUAAUACCGCAUGUGAACUUUUUAGUUUAAAGGAGCAAUUCGCUUUGAGAGGAGCCUAAGUCUGAUUAGCUUGUUGGUGGGGUAAUGGCCUACCAAGGCGAUGAUCAGUAGCUGGUCUGAGAGGAUGAACAGCCACACUGGGACUGAGAUACGGCCCAGACUCCUACGGGAGGCAGCAGUGAGGAAUUUUCCACAAUGGGCGAAAGCCUGAUGGAGCAAUGCCGCGUGCAGGAUUAAGUAUUUCGGUAUGUAAACUGCUUUUAUUAGGGAAGAAAUAAGACGGUACCUAAUGAAUAAGGAUCGGCUAACUACGUG